rnacentral:lncRNA from 1 species
CUACUGCAACAUUAAGCAAGUCACUGACGAGUGGAUAGACAUCCAAGUGACUUCUUGUAUUGGUCACGCUCAGUACCCUUGUUCUCUAACAAGCACCUGUACUAUCACUUCAGUAUCCCUACACUGUGGACUCAAGUCUCGUCCAUCCAGAAGGAGAGUGAUCUGUGCACUGAUCGGAUCGAUCACCAUCCUCGUGAUGAUCCUUUGAUCAGGAGCAUUUAGAAAUUAAUCACCAAUGAUACAUGGCUCAAAUUCUCAACUCUUGAGAAUAUGUAUCAUCAUCUUAUUAAUUUCUUGGACGAUUCAUAGACACGUAAACAAUAUGAAUGAAAAAGAUGCCUUUUAUUUAUUCAAUAAUAAAUAGUCAAGUACAAAAUUAUGUCCCUAGAAUCAACAAUAUGUCAGCCAAAUUGGCUUCUAGGGCAUACAUCUAACAAUCUCCCACUUGCACUAAAGCCAAUUGGUCAUAUAUCUUAGGCCCAUCUUCUCAAGGUGGGCUUCAGUCUUUUGCUGACUCAGCUGCUUAGUGAAAGGGUCUGCCACGUU